rnacentral:tRNA from 1 species
GCGGGGGUGCCCGAGAGGUCAAAGGGGCCAGGCUUAGGACCUGGUGGCAUAGGCCUGCGCGGGUUCGAACCCCGUCCCCCGCA